rnacentral:tRNA from 1 species
GCCAGAGUGGUGAAAUGGUAGACACAGCAGACUCAAAAUCUGCCGACUGCAAGGUCAUGCCGGUUCGAGUCCGGCCUCUGGUA